UGUUACUACAGUGGCCUCAGGAUAAAGGGGCUGGAUGCAGCUGGCUUGCAGUCUCCAGAUCGAUGUGCCUGCGUUCUAUUUGUGGCUCUCUCUGACUCCAGGGCAUCAUACCAUGGAUGUCCGGCUAAAAUGUAAGGGUUGGAGAGACGACCAGCAGAGAAUCACAGACCGGCUCAGUGAUGGUGAGAAGACAGCCGAAGAUCCUGAUGGCUUAGGCAUGGUCGAGUCGAACGGCGUUCCACUCGGCCACCGUGCAAUGGGUGACCGAACAACAGCAGUACCAAAAAGACACACUGCAGCGAGUCUGUGAUCGUGUGAUGGGACUGCGCUUCUGGAGGACCAAGAUAUGAACUCUUCCUUGGAAACGAUGGUGAAUCACCCUACAAAUUACCUGAGCAGAAACCUGCUUGUGCCCAAUUCACAACAGGAUAAUACUAUUGCCUGUAAACAGCAGGGAUUUGUGAUGGGGUGGCAAACACUCUGGGGAGGGAGAUCUGACACCCUGUUGUUUCGCCCAAAAUAUUGUGGAAUGCCUUCUCUUCUCUGUGGAAUACCAGAGAUGAUGUUAUCUGCGCUUUGUUAGAACGUCUCACCAGGAUUUUUUUCUUAUUAUCAAGUCUUAGUUGUCAUGGAAACCAACCAAACCGUCAUUGCUCAAAAAGGGGGAUGACGCACGGACAAUUUUGCUGUGUUUACCCUUGGCAUGCAGAGCCUAGGAUAAUAAAACACAUUAAAGGUAUGGCUCACAAAUCAGACAGAAAAAUAACAACAGAUAGAUUAAUAACAUUAGAUUAUGUGGCAUAGUAGCAAAUGAACAUAUCAACUCAUUUUUAAAUCAUUUUUAUAGUCUGUUUCAGAUUUGUUUUGUAGCUUAAGUAAUAAGAUAUCACAUCUUUAUUACUACUGUCACUACUAUCUGUUUUACUAUGUACUCACAGGAAAGCUGCUUUGCAACAAUAUAAAAAGUGUGAAAAGUAAUUUGAAUUAAACUGAAUUGAAUUAUCAUGCAGAAGAGUCUAGGGAGUAACUUUAAAUUUGAGACCAUUUGAAUCGCAUAGCAAUGUUAUAACAUCUUGGAUUUAGGAUGAAUGCAAAAAAUGAAAUUUCAUCAUGUCCUGAGUUUGCUGCACCCAUGGAACAUGAUCUUCUAAAAAUACCUCCUUUAUUGAAACACUUUUUGCAAUAUUUUGGGAAGGGCCGGUCCUUGGAGAGGUUUGGAUGUUUUCAAAUCUGUAAAGGACAUGAUGUUCUAAACCAUAAAGAUGAUGAUGUUCAGGAUUCUGAAGGACGAUGAGGAGUGAUAGAGUACAGAUAUCUGUUCUGUGUAAUAGAGAGCCACUUAACCCUGAAACCAGCUCCAGAAGAGAGGCAUAAUGAAACAGCUUUGAGCUGACUGCUAAUGACCAAUGUGUCUAUUUCAUUUGAGCUUUAACCAGAUCUAUUCCACUGUGUACUGGGGUUAAGCCAUGGGUAUACAGACAAUACCAGCAGCAAUUCAACACAUAACUCAACCGGUGACGUGUCAUUUCACAAAAAGGAAAUUGCAUCACUUCAGGAACCUAUUCCAACACAUUUAGGGAGCAACAGAAUGCACUAUUUGUUCCUAGAGUGAAUGGAAAUAGUUGGGGGGCCAGCAUUAAUAAAGUGCACUUUGUAGAAAGUGGAGUUUGAUGACUUUUUUGAGACGCGAGACAACAAACUAUCAGAAGGGCA